GCGGACGGGUGAGUAAUGCUUGGGGAUCUGGCUUAUGGAGGGGGAUAACGACGGGAAACUGUCGCUAAUACCGCGUAAUGUCUAAGGACUAGAGGGUGGGACUUUCGGGCCACCUGCCAUAAGAUGAGCCCAAGUGGGAUUAGGUAGUUGGUGGGGUAAAGGCCUACCAAGCCGACGAUCUCUAGCUGGUCUGAGAGGAUGACCAGCCACACUGGAACUGAGACACGGUCCAGACUCCUACGGGAGGCAGCAGUGGGGAAUAUUGCACAAUGGGGGGAACCCUGAUGCAGCCAUGCCGCGUGGAUGAAGAACGCCUUCGGGUUGUAAAGUUCUUUCGGUGAUGAGGAAGGGUGAUGUUUUAAUAUAGCAUUACCUUGACUGAAGUCACAUAAGAAGCACCGGCUAACUCCGU
rnacentral:rRNA from 1 species